rnacentral:rRNA from 1 species
GAUGAACGCUAGCGGCAGGCCUAACACAUGCAAGUCGAGGGGCAGCACAGAAACAGCAAUGUCUUGGUGGCGACCGGCGGACGGGUGCGUAACGCGUAUGCAACCUACCUUUAACAGGGGGAUAACGGAGAGAAAUUUCCACUAAUACCCCAUAACAUCGAUCAAGGCAUCUUGAUUGGUUGAAAACUCCGGUGGUUAAAGAUGGGCAUGCGUUGUAUUAGGUAGUUGGUGAGGUAAUGGCUCACCAAGCCUACGAUACAUAGGGGGACUGAGGGGUUAGCCCCCCACACUGGUACUGAGACACGGACCAGACUCCUACGGGAGGCAGCAGUGAGGAAUAUUGGUCAAUGGGGCAACCCUGAACCAGCCAUGCCGCGUGCAGGAAGACGGCUCUAUGGGUUGUAAAUUGCUUUUAUACGAGGGUAAUAGUAUCUACGUGUAGGUAUUUGAAAGUAUCGUAUGAAUAAGGAUCGGCUAACUCCGUGCCAGCAGCCGCCGUAA